AGUUUGUCAUUAAUUGGCCAUUGUGCGAUUUUAGAGGCUGUUCACAAUUCUCAAAAUUAAAGCAAGGCAUUGUUCUUGUUACAGCCUUUAUAACAUUAGAUUUGAAGAUACAUGCAAAUGAAACAUGGCUGAAUAAUAAUGUUAUGUUUUGCUAUAUAACCUUAUACGAUCAGUACUUUUUGUUAGGUCUUCUGUUCAGUAAAUUAUUUACUUACCUGUAGAUUUUGUCAGUUUUUUGGAAUGUUACCUGUUGUGUUAAUAUUUUCAAAACCUAUACAAUGAAUUGUCUUUCGGUGAGGUGGGUAUGUGCCUGUGUAAACUACUAAACUCAAAAAACAUUGAUGUAAGGUAAAAGUGAAAAUUUGUUGAGCUAAUCUAAAACAGGAAUGGUAAUGUAAUGGGCAUCAGCAGUUCUUAUGAGAAUCAAGAUAGCAGAAUUGUGCAUGUCACUGGCUGAUUUGUGGAUACAGAGCCAUUAACAUUAGAGAUGUCAUUAAGAAUUGAAAUAACAGGUAAAAAUUAAAAUAUAGCCAGUUCCACUAAAUAUUUUGUGUGACGUAGUCAGGUUGAUACCAAAGCCUAAAUAUAUAAUUUGAACAUACUUAAAUAAUCACAUGCCAUUAUUAUAUCUUUUCAGUAAAUAUAUCAUCGUCGUUCAUGUUUAUCUUUUAAUUUGAUUUUUCAUUGUUCAUAAAGGAUUUUAGAUUUUUGCAAUAAGUGUUUGAACUGAGAUUUCUCAAACAUUGACAUUAAUAUUAUUUGAACUGAGAUUUCUCAAACAUUGACAUUAAUAUUAUGCUCUGCUGUUGAUGCUUUGCAUUUAUUUUCCUGUUUUUUAUCGAAUUAAAAAAGUGUUGUUUUUUUUUUUUUUUUUUGCAAACAUACGAUGCUGAACAAAUUAAUAUUGUACACUUGCAUUAAGGUUGAAAAUUGUGGAUGCCCCAAUGUUUCUUUCUACUUUUUCUUAUAAAUAAUACAAACAAUAUAUUACUCAAAACCAUUUCUGUUUUUUUUUUUUGUACUGGGAUAUCUGCAUUGUUUAUUGUUAUUCAUGUGUAUGUACCUUGCAUUACAGCCUAAAAAAAAAGGCUCGGUUUUUUAUCUUUAUUAAUUUUUUUUCAGAUAAAAAAAAAAAAAUCAUUAAUUAUUGUCAGCUUAUUAUAGAAAAAAGAAACUACCUUAUAUUACUAUACAUUUAGCUUGUAGGAUAUAACAGUAGAAAACCUUUGAUGUUUACUUACUCUUGACAUUUUCCCUCCACAAUUAGAGAAGAUCAAUAUAAAAUCACCUUGAGAAUACUGAGGCACAGCAAGGGGCUCAUGCAGGGUACAGUAAUUCCGUAGCUAAAAUCUAAACAGGAGCAUGUCUCCCACUUCAGCUCCCUCACAAUGACGCAAAGAUGUCCAAGACCUUAAAUCAUGGAUGCAAAGUGAGAGACCAAACAACAGUUUGAACACACAAGAGCAGGCAUCAUCAAGUCUAUUUGAGAUUAAAUUUGACCAGUGUA